UGUGCGCUUGUCAGUUACGUGUCCAUCUAUCGUGUGCGCAUACUGCUUCUGGACUACCAUACUACAGAGAUGCGUUUGACCAUCAGCGCGAGGACCAGAUGAUUUGACAGCCAUAUGCUGAGGCGGUGAUGGAUCGACUUCCGAAGAUUUGUCGCUCAGACAUGCACAUUUGGCGUACACGGGCACCUCUGAUAUGCUUUGACGUCGUUGAGUUCCACCUCCCAGACCGAGUCCUUCGUCAGUUCGGGUUAGACCAGCCGAUCCCACAGGAUGUAGACACGGACGUUGCUCUACACAGGAAGGAUCGAAGGGGACAGCGUAAUUGGGAGAUUCGGCAUUCGGACCAUGUACACGAGUGGAGUCGACGAGAGGCAUUAGUCGUCCAGGGAUACCCGUUCACUAGGACUUCUUCCCCGGCCAUGACAGAGUAAAUGGCUUGGUACCGUCGCAUCACGAGAUUGGUCAUUACUCCACCUUCGCAGGAGCACCCCCCAAGUCAUUACCAGCCAGCUACCUCUGACCUCCUGCUUGCACAUGCAUUUGCUGAUUUGCACGUCCAGCUAUCGGGAGCUACUGAGACCAUCUCCCACUUGCCACCAGAGACGGCUAUACCAUUUGCCAUACAGACGAUGCAGGGUUUUACAUCAUUUUGUGGGCAAACCUUGUCUA